rnacentral:rRNA from 1 species
GACGAACGCUGGCGGCGUGCUUAACACAUGCAAGUCGAACGGUGAAGGGGUCUGCUUUUGUGGGCCCUGGAUGAGUGGCGAACGGGUGAGUAACACGUGAGUAACCUGCCCCCUUCUUCUGGAUAACCGCAUGAAAGUGUGGCUAAUACGGGAUAUUCUGGGUCUGUCGCAUGAUGGGUCUGGGAAAGAUUGCGCCUUUGGGUGUUUUUGGUGGGGGAUGGGCUCGCGGCCUAUCAGCUUGUUGGUGGGGUGAUGGCCUACCAAGGCGGUGACGGGUAGCCGGCCUGAGAGGGUGGACGGUCACAAGGGGACGGAGACACGGCCCAGAAUCCUACGGGAGGCAGCAGUGGGGAAUAUUGCACAAUGGGCGCAAGCCUGAUGCAGCGACGCCGCGUGAGGGAUGGAGGCCUUCGGGUUGUAAACCUCUUUCGCCAGUGAAGCAGGCCUGCUCCUUGUGGGUGGGUUGACGGUAGCUGGAUAAGAAGCGCCGGCUAACUACGUG